GACGAACGCUGGCGGCGUGCUUAACACAUGCAAGUCGAACGGAAAGGCCCUGCUUUUGUGGGGUGCUCGAGUGGCGAACGGGUGAGUAACACGUGAGUAACCUGCCCUUGACUUUGGGAUAACUUCAGGAAACUGGGGCUAAUACCGGAUAGGAGCUCCUGCUGCAUGGUGGGGGUUGGAAAGUUUCGGCGGUUGGGGAUGGACUCGCGGCUUAUCAGCUUGUUGGUGGGGUAGUGGCUUACCAAGGCUUUGACGGGUAGCCGGCCUGAGAGGGUGACCGGCCACAUUGGGACUGAGAGACGGCCCAGACUCCAACGGGAGGCAGAAGGGGGGAAUAUUGCACAAUGGGCGGAAGCCGGAUGCAGAAACGCCGGGGGCGGGAUGACGGCCUUCGGGUUGUAAACCGCUUUCGCCUGUGACGAAGCGGGAGUGACGGUAAUGGAUAAAGAAGCACCGGCUAACUACGUG
rnacentral:rRNA from 1 species